rnacentral:rRNA from 1 species
GACGAACGCUGGCGGCGUGCUUAACACAUGCAAGUCGAACGAAGUGGCGAACGGGUGAGUAACGGGUAAUCAACCUGCCCUUCAGAGGGGGACAACAGUUGGAAACGACUGCGAAUACCGCAUACUGAAGGAGGGGAUCGCGUGUGAUUAGCUAGGUGGAGGGGUAACGGCCACCCAAGGCGAUGAUCAGUAGCCGGUCUGAGCGGAUGAACGGCCACAUUGUGACUGAGCAACGGCCCAGACUCCUACGGGAGGCAGCAGGGGUGAAUCGUCCGCAAUGGACGAAAGUCUGACGGAGCAACGCCGCGGGAGUGAUGACGGCCUUCGGGUUGUAAAGCUCUGUUAAUCGGGACGCGGUACCGGAAUAGAAAGCCACGGCUAACUACGUGCCAGCAGCCGCGGUAAUAC